AAGAGGUUCAGCUGUGCCAGGCUGCCUGCCUGCCUGCCUUUCGAAGAAAGUGCUUGAAAGUGAAAGAAAGGGGUGAAGAAUAAUGAACACGCAGGCGAUUUAGUACCCCCAAGACACACUUGUGCUUGCGAAGCUGAGGUCCUUAAAAACCUUCGAAAACAUUUAGAGAAGGAAACCAAAACUGCUGUACCAGAACUACCAGCCCUGAUUGCCAAAGUCGCUGAACUUCAGAAACAUUCCAGCAAAACUAAAUCAGGAUGCAUUAAAAAAUCAGAAAAAACAAAACCAGGCAGACUUUUUAUGAAAUAUCGACAAUACUUCUGGAGAUGGAACGAACAAGGGUGUUUAAAGCAUCAGUAACAUGGGACACUACACAGCUGAAGUCACUGGCCAUAACUCUCCUUCCCAUCCCUGAGCUUCAGAUCAAGCCUCUCUGUUGACCACGAGGAUCAUUUACUGUAAUGGGAUACGUCUUAAAAGUGUUCCUCCUGCCUUUAAGUGAGAGCAUCUUUAUUUAUUUAUUUAUUUAAUUUUAGCCAAAAUAGACAACUAAGGGGGAUUCAGCUUAUACCUCACCAGAUGUACUACAGCUGUCUUUUUUUGUUAUUUAACAGUGAAUUCCCCUAGUUUUCAUCAGGGAUAAUGACAGAUAGGUGGUUGAUGUAAUCCUGGCUGAUUCCCCUAGUGUUGUGAAAUGAUCUAGAAAUACACUGGUUGAUCAAAUCAACCCCUUAGUUUUCUUGUUUAUAUUACAUUGAAGUUAAGUAUUUUUAAGAGGAUAUUUAUAUUUAUGUAGGUAUUUAUCUAUUUAUUUAUUUGUUUUGAGAUUUUAUAUAAAAUAUUAAUGUUAUCUUUAGGUCAAGGUGUGUCUUUGACAGUGUUUAAAUGGCAGUGAAUCAGUGUUGACAGUGUUUGAUUAGUAAAUGACAUUAUUUGAUUGGGUUGAAAGAUUUCUGAAUGUUUAAUAACAGACAUUUCUUUAAUGCAACACUGCUACUAAAAUAGUAAUAAAAUCACUGUAAGAGUAUCCAACGAUGUUGGUAAUAUUGUAAGCUUUAUAACCUCUCUUACCAUUACAGAAUUUAAUGUAUUUGUAUUAAUUAUUUAUUGAUAAAUAUUUUUGUAAGACAUUAUAUGUAAUA